GGCUGCUUUCUUCUCUGAUUGUGUACUAUGGAUGUUCUGCAUAUGAUAUCAGCAGUUUUGUUUGCCUGGAAACGCCCUUUCAUUUUGUAUCAAGAAUAGGGUGCACGUUUACAUUAAAAGAUGCAAAAGACUGGUUUGAAUCAGAAAAAAGUGAUUGCUCUAAUGUAUGCAAAGUGAAGAUCAACAACUUAGAAAUGUGGGAUUGGAGUGAUUUUGACGAAAAUUAUUACACACCCUCCUAUCAGCUGACAUCAUUAGCUCUUAGCUGCAAUGGUUUGAGCGAUAAUUUGAUGAUAAUCAACAGAUCUAGAAGUUGCUUUUCUACACACGGAGGAAAAAGUUUGAAAAUUAUUUGCAGAUCAGGUUUUGAGAACGCAUUAGACAUCUUUAGAGAUUUGUUACCAUCAACUCAAAAGUGCGAAGAAGAUAGUAAGAAUUGCUCGUUGAAAGGACAGUUCGAUGUUUGUGCAUGCAAUCCUGGGUAUAUUAGACUUGAAAAUGAAUGUU